UACGUAGGGCGCAAGCGUUGUCCGGAAUUAUUGGGCGUAAAGAGCUCGUAGGUGGCUUGUCACGUCGGGUGUGAAAGCUUGGGGCUUAACUCCAGGUCUGCAUUCGGUACGGGCUGGCUAGAGGUAGGUAGGGGAGAACGGAAUUCCUGGUGUAGCGGUGAAAUGCGCAGAUAUCAGGAGGAACACCGGUGGCGAAGGCGGUUCUCUGGGCCGAUACUGACGCUGAGACGCGAAAGCGUGGGGAGCGAACAGG
rnacentral:rRNA from 1 species